rnacentral:rRNA from 1 species
UACGGGGGGAGCAAGCGUUGUUCGGAUUUACUGGGCGUAAAGAGCGUGUAGGCGGCCCGGUAAGUCCGCCGUGAAAGUCCAGGGCUCAACCCUGGAAUGCCGGUGGAAACUGCCGGGCUGGAGUCCGGAAGAGGCGAGUGGAAUUCCUGGUGUAGCGGUGAAAUGCGCAGAUAUCAGGAGGAACACCAGUGGCGAAGGCGGCACUCUGGGCCGGUACUGACGCUGAGGAGCGAAAGCGUGGGGAGCGAACAGG